AACCUCAACCAACCCAACCUAGUUAACCUCAGCUUGAAUGUGCCUCAGAGCUGCAAGGCCCAGUAGAGGUUUUGUGUGUGUUUUGUUGAUGUGUGUUGCUUGCGUUACCUCUGCUGUUUGUGUCAGUGACAUAACAUGUUGUGUGUCUUUUAAAUGCAGAAUUCAAAAUCCAAAUAAAAAACUUUUAAAUCAUUAAUCCUGUUGAUGUACUGUGUCAUGCAGGUCCUACUCAUGUCUGUCCCGUCUCCCACUUUGUGCAAAGCUUCAGUAUCUCUGUUUGGGGGAAAUGUCAACUCUCACACUACUGAACUAAUGAUAAAAGUGACAAUACAAGUCAAGCCAAAGUAUCGAUGCUUUACAUUUGCAAUCAGGUCACAAUUAUCAUAAAAUAUAUCUGUAAUACAGUAAUUGUGGACACUGAAUAUGUAUUAGUAUAAAGCGUAUUUUGCACACUGAGAUAUAGUCUUGUACACAAUAGGAGAGUGAUAUACACUCACAUUGAUAAAAUGUUUCCAUGAUGAUAGGAAUGAACUAUGGAAGUGUAGCUCUAGCAUUAGCAACCCAGUUGUCUGCUGUUUCAGAUAUUCUCUCAUGUCUUUGGUGUAAUCAGAUGUAGUGCAUUGAACUUAAUCAGGUGUUCCUGUCUUGUUGUGGCUUUGUGUGCUUCUGUUCCCUCUACUGGGUUCACCUAUAGAAAUGCUAUAUGUCUGUUCUAUUGAUUCAAAGUCUACCACCAUGGGUUUGGAAAUGGAUGAGAUGUGACUAGGGUUCGUUCACAAGAAGCAAGCCAAGCCAAGUAGAAGUUGGAAGUUCCCAUUGAUUGGCAAAGUUGCCGUUUGGCCAAAGCAAGUCAGGGUCACCUUCACUGGCUGUUGAUAUCCUCAUGUUUAGAUCUUCAAUGUGUUGUAUUCGUUAAGUAAUAACUCAGUAAUUGAUGAAAGGUCAUAGGAUGAGGCGAAAAAACAUGCUCAAGUCCAAUAGACAAAGCAUGCUUUAGAUUAUUGUCUCAUGUCCUACCAAAUAUCACAGUAUUAUCUAUGACUGAUACUGGAGACAGUAUUAUCUAUGAUUGAUACCGGAGACAGUAUUAUCUAUGAUUGAUAGCGGAGACAGUAUUAUCUGUGACUAAUACGAGACAGUAUUAUCUAUGAACUUAUACCGGAGACAGUAUUAUCUAUGAUUGAUACCGGAGACAGUAUUAUCUAUGAUUGAUAGCGGAGACAGUAUUAUCUAUGAUUGAUACCGGAAACAGUAUUAUCUGUGACUAAUACCGGAACAGUAUUAUCUAUGAUUGAUACCGGAGACAGUAUUAUCUAUGAUUGAUACCGGAGACAUUAUUACUAUGACUGAUACCGAGGACAGCUGUACUAUGCAUGGUUUCCAUAAAACAGUUCAAAGUAUACCCAUUCCAACCGUUUGACACUUAUUGAUAGCCUUUAGAUCUGCAUGGAACAGUAAGGGUAGGCUACAUGCAAUACGGUGAAAACUCCCCCUUGUUAACAAGAUGGCUGGAGCUAUGGCGGAACUAAGAUCAUAUAACAAACACUUUCAGAUUUCGUAGGAGCGUCAAGAAGUGUCCAGAAGUUGGGGUUUGUGAUUGGGUUUCAGACUGGGCACCAGAGUGUGAGUAACCGUUUUGACUGCCUACUGACACUGUUCUUAUAUCCACAUGCAGAGUGUCUCGUGUUGAUGACUGUCCAUGCAGCAACACCAUGGAAACCGACAGGGACAGCAUGGGAAAAACAGCCUUACCUUCAUCAUACUCUUCCUCAUAACUCUGCUGUAUGGCGUUGGAGCAACUGCCUCAAGGUGAAAUGAAGAAACUGAGUUUGAAGAAGAUACAACUUUUCAUACUUACAAUAUAUGAAUGGAUACAAUAAAUGUAACUGUUCUCCUGCUUGUCUUUAUUGUUGAUUUUGUUUGAAUAGUUCAACUGUAGAGGUUAAAUUUGUAAAUAUUUCAUUGUGUCUUUUUAAACUAUUAAGAUAAUAAAAGUGUAACUGAAGUGAA